rnacentral:rRNA from 1 species
AUUGAACGCUGGCGGCAUGCUUUACACAUGCAAGUCGAACGGCAGCGCGGGCUUCGGCCUGGCGGCGAGUGGCGAACGGGUGAGUAAUACAUCGGAACGUGCCCAGUAGUGGGGGAUAGCUCGGCGAAAGCCGGAUUAAUACCGCAUACGACCUGAGGGUGAAAGCGGGGGAUCUUCGGACCUCGCGCUAUUGGAGCGGCCGAUGGCAGAUUAGCUAGUUGGUGGGGUAAAGGCCUACCAAGGCGACGAUCUGUAGCUGGUCUGAGAGGACGACCAGCCACACUGGGACUGAGACACGGCCCAGACUCCUACGGGAGGCAGCAGUGGGGAAUUUUGGACAAUGGGCGAAAGCCUGAUCCAGCAAUGCCGCGUGUGUGAUGAAGGCCUUCGGGUUGUAAAGCACUUUUGGCGGGAACGAAAAGGACUGUGCCAAUACCACGGUUCGAGGACGGUACCCGCAGAAUAAACACCGGCGAACUACGU